GAAUUAAGGGCUGCGAUUUGGCCAACACUAGUAACAAAACCCAACACUAGGAACAAAAGACGGUUGCGAUUUUAGCGACAAAAAAAAUUGAGAGUACCUCUCUUCACUGAGGAAUUCAUACCUCUCUUCAUCUACGACUGAUUAUUGAUUCUUCAAAAUUGAUUCUUCAAAAUCAGUAAACUCAGCUGUUGGAUAUCAUACUCAGCAGCCUUUUCAACCAACUACAUAUGUGGAACCAGUGCACUAUGUCCCUUCUUAUUAUGUGGUACAUGGAGUCCCUGCAGCGGGCAACAUCUAUCUUAUUCAACAGAACGGCGCUUGUGGAGAGCUUGGAUACCAUGACCUUCGAAAUGCCCAUCAAAGAUACCUUCAUGAUCUAAGGUGAAAAGACGUCUUCAGAAAACAACAUUUUCUUUCCCAGAAAUGGUUUGCUAAACUACAACCAUGGGGAGUAUAGGCUAAAGACAAACAAGCAGGAUAGUGAUUGAAGGUGGCUGCCUGUUAGGAUAGUUCAAUUCAGAACAGAAGCUAUUUUCUACAUGAGAUUUUCAUCAUGUGACUAGGAUUUGACUCGUCUUUUAGACUUUGACUACGAUUAUACUAAAAAAUGACUAAUUAGGAUACAAAUGUAUUAAUUGCAGCCUUGCAGAUAUUGUAGCUAACGUUGAUGGUAUAGGUAUACUUGUGUGUUGUGUAUAAAAAGUCUCCUACUCAACAAGUGAGGGCUGAAUUCUCAGCUUGUGAUGAAAUUGCAGAUUUAACACUUGUGAUAAGGAGGCAUAUGUACUCAAAAUUUGGCUUCUCAUUGUAAGGAAAC